rfam:Glycine max cultivar Williams 82 chromosome 4, whole genome shotgun sequence.
UCAUACUACUUAUACCAACACGAUGCAUAUACUUUUCAGUAGCUCAUCACAUAAGAACUCCAUAGUUAAGCGUGUUUGGCUUGGAAUAGUUAUGAGAUGGGUGACCUUUUGGAAAGUUUUCCAGGAAAUGUGCGAG